UGGUCAAGUUAUUAAGGGUGCAGGGCGGAUGCCUUGGCACUAGGAGCCGAUGAAGGACGUGAUAAGCUGCGAUAAGCUUCGGGGAGUUGCACGUAAACUUUGAUCCGAAGAUUUCCGAAUGAGGAAACUCACUUAGAGUAAUGUCUAAGUAUCAUUAAGUGAAUACAUAGCUUAAUGAGGGGAACUCAGGGAACUGAAACAUCUAAGUACCUGAAGGAAGAGAAAGAAAUUCGAUUCCGUAAGUAGCGGCGAGCGAACGCGGAUUAGCCCAAACCAAUAAAGUUUUCUUUAUUGGGGUUGCGGACAUAUCAUAACGAAGAGGUAUCGUAAUUGAAGAGGUUUGGAAAGACCCACCACAGAAGGUAAUAGUCCUGUAUGUUAAACGAGAAGACUUUAGAUAUGAUCCAGAGUACCACGGGACACGUGAAACCCUGUGGGAAGCAGGAGGGACCACCCUCCAAGGCUAAAUACUACCUAGUGACCGAUAGCGUAUAGUACCGUGAGGGAAAGGUGAAAAGAACCCCGGGAGGGGAGUGAAAUAGAACCUGAAACCCUGCACUUACAAGCUGUGGAAGCACAUUUCUUGUGUGACCGCGUACUUUUUGUAGAACGGGCCAACGAGUUACGUUAAGUAGCAAGGUUAAGCACUUAAGGUGUGGAGCCGUAGCGAAAGCGAGUUUUAACUGAGCGUUCAGUUACUUGACGUAGACCCGAAACCGGGCGACCUACCCAUGAGCAGGAUGAAGCGAAAGUAAAAUUUCGUGGAGGUCCGAACCCACGAGCGUUGAAAAGCUCGGGGAUGACUUGUGGGUAGCGGUGAAAUUCCAAUCGAGCCCGGAGAUAGCUGGUUCUCCCCGAAAUAGCUUUAGGGCUAGCCUCAAGGUGAGAGAUACGGAGGUAGAGCACUGAAUGUCCUAGGGGGUAUUGCACCUACCGAAGACUAUCAAACUCCGAAUGCCGUCAUCUUAUACUUGGGAGUCAGACUGUGGGUGAUAAGAUUCAUAGUCGAAAGGGCAACAGCCCAGAUCGUCAGCUAAGGUCCCUAAAUGUAAGUUAAGUGGUAAAGGAUGUGGGAUUGCACAGACAACCAGGAUGUUGGCUUAGAAGCAGCCACUCAUUCAAAGAGUGCGUAAUAGCUCACUGGUCGAGUGAUCCUGCGCCGAAGAUUUCCGGGGCUAAAACUUACUACCGAAGCUACGGCAUCAGUAAUGAUGGGUAGGGGAGCUUCCCAUACGGGUUGAAGCAUGACCGUAAGGACAUGUGGACAGUAUGGGAGUGAGAAUGUUGGCAUGAGUAGCGAGAUGUGGGUGAGAAUCCCACAGGCCGUAAACCCAAGGUUUCCAGGGGAAGGUUCGUCCGCCCUGGGUUAGUCGGGACCUAAGCUGAGGCCGAAAGGCGUAGGUGAUGGACAACAGGUUGAUAUUCCUGUACUACCGAUAACCGUUUGAGAGAAGGGAUGACACAGUAGGAUAAGCUAAGCACACUGUUGGUUAUGUGUGCCCAAGCAUUGAGGCAGUCAAAGUAGGCAAAUCCGCUUUGAUAAUGCU
rnacentral:rRNA from 1 species